AUUGAACGCUGGCGGCAGGCCUAACACAUGCAAGUCGAACGAGUGGCGGACGGGUGAGUAAUGUCUGGGAAACUGCCUGAUGAGGGGGGAUAACUACUGGAAACGGUAUCUAAUACCGCAUUCCCUCCGAUUUGCCCAGAUGGGAUUAGCUAGUAGGUGGGGUAAAGGCUAACCUAGGCGACGAUCCCUAGCUGGUCUGAUAGGAUGACCAGCCACACUGGAACUGAGAAACGGUCCAGACUCCUACGGGAGGCAGCAGUGGGGAAUAUUGCACAAGGGGCGCAAGCCUGAUGCAGCAAUGCCGCGUGUAUGAAGAAGGCCUUCGGGUGGUAAAGUACUUUCAGCGGGGAGGCGUUACCCGCAGAAGAAGCACCGGCUAACUCCGUGCCAGCAGCCGCGGUAAUUC
rnacentral:rRNA from 1 species